GAUGAACGCUGGCGGCGUGCUUAACACAUGCAAGUCGAACGAAGCAUUUGCGACAGAUUUUUUCGGAAUGAAGUUGCUUAUGACUGAGUGGCGGACGGGUGAGUAACGCGUGGGUAACCUGCCUUGUACUGGGGGAUAGCAGCUGGAAACGGCUGGUAAUACCGCAUAAGCGCACAAUGUUGCAUGACAUGGUGUGAAAAACUCCGGUGGUAUAAGAUGGACCCGCGUCUGAUUAGCUAGUUGGUGAGAUAACAGCCCUCCAAGGCGACGAUCAGUAGCCGACCUGAGAGGGUGACCGGCCACAUUGGGACUGAGACACGGCCCAGACUCCUACGGGAGGCAGCAGUGGGGAAUAUUGCACAAUGGAGGAAACUCUGAUGCAGCGACGCCGCGUGAGUGAAGAAGUAAUUCGUUAUGUAAAGCUCUAUCAGCAGGGAAGAUAGUGACGGUACCUGACUAAGAAGCUCCGGCUAAAUACGUG
rnacentral:rRNA from 1 species